CUCCGGGGGUGGCCCCGGGACCGCCGCGGCUUCUUCCCCGUCCGCCGACUUCAGCUCUGACUCCCCACAACCCAUCAUCAUCUUUGGAGGAAGUGCUGUGGAACAUCAGAUAGAAUGGAUAGCACAGCCCAAAUUUUACAAAAAGGAUUUUAAAGGAAGAUCUCAAUGGUGGAACACUAGAGGCUUUCCUGCUAAAGUUAAGAACAAGCAAAGGCUGACGCAGUUUUGGCAUGCAGGAAGUGUUGGAGCUGAGACUCGAAACUGUCCCCCAGGCCUUGGCCAUGCUGAUAAAUAUCUAGGCCCUACAGGAGUUCGUGUCCAUGAACCCAGUAAACGCAAUUCCUCAGCCUUAAAAUCUAGUCACUGACUCAUUUCAGGCCCCAGCACAGACGAAAACAAGCCAUUCUGUUUGCCCAGUUUACAUUGCGGGUCUCCAAGAAGUGGAAUGUUCACCAAUGAUUUUAAGAAAACAGGGCCUGGCGCGGUGGCUCACGCCUGUAAUCCCAGCACUUUGGGAGGCCGAGGCAGGCAGAUCACCUGAG
rnacentral:lncRNA from 1 species